rnacentral:rRNA from 1 species
GUGCCAGCAGCCGCGGUAAUACGAAGGGAGCUAGCGUUGUUCGGAAUCACUGGGCGUAAAGCGCACGUAGGCGGAUGUGUCAGUCAGGGGUGAAAUCCCGGAGCUCAACUUCGGAACUGCCUUUGAUACAGCACAUCUGGAGUCCGGAAGAGGUGGGUGGAAUUCCUAGUGUAGAGGUGAAAUUCGUAGAUAUUAGGAAGAACACCGGUGGCGAAGGCGGCCCACUGGUCCGGUACUGACGCUGAGGUGCGAAAGCGUGGGGAGCAAACAGGAUUAGAUACCCCGGUAGUCCUGGCUGUAAACGAUGGAUACUUGGUGUGGGAGGUAUUGAGUCCUUCCGUGCCGACGAUAACUCAGUAAGUAUCCCGCCUGGGGAGUACGGUCGCAAGACUGAA